AUAAAACUUUGGUUCAAAAGAUGUUUUUUUCACUCCAUAGAAAACAAUAUAAAUGUGUAACAACUUUACUCAAAAUGAUAAUUAUUAACUAACAGACGAAUCCAUCACUGGAGAUAAUUACAUGUUUUAAACUGGGUAGAAUUUUUAAAAUUGUUUCACCCCUUAUAAAGUUUCAUCUGCACUAAAGCAAAUCAAUUAGUGGUGAACCAUAUGGCUGGCAUGCAAUGUGGUAUACACAAAAAAAAUGAAAAUCUGUAAAUCUUUUAUUAUUAAUUUAAUAUUUCAG
rnacentral:lncRNA from 1 species